UUUUUAUUCGGACAUAAAAACAGGUUUUUAUUCGCUUAUAAAUGUAGAAUUGUCAUUUCCCAAGGUAGUAAAAGUCGGUUCCAAGCUUCUAAAUGCCUAAUGUAGUAUUUCUUGUUUGUCGAUACAGUUUUUCUAGUUUGACUGGUAUGCUGUGACUGUUAGAAACAGUAAAGUUUCCUUUUUUGAUUUUUUUGUUUUUUUUCGAAUAGUUCGAGUUCCUUCAGUGCCACCUCCCCACCUUUACAGGUCCAAUAUUCUAAGUAGGCCAUCGAAGUUUGCACCAUUUCCUCGUUUUUCUUUCUUUCUUUCUUUAAAAAAAAGUUUUUUUACUUACUUAUUCCUCAUUUUACAUUGUUAAUGUACUGUAUCAAAGAGAAUCUCCUACUAUUCGUUUCGCUUUUUUCCAUUUUGUUAAACGGUUUUAAAUCAUUUUCACUCAUUACAUCUUUUUAAAACCACUUCCUGAUGUUUCGUGUUUGGUAGGUUUAUUGCCGACUGGUUUCCUGAGAAUUUUAAGACCUAGAAAAAGACAGGAAAACAGAAAAAAAGUGAAACAUAAACCGAAUUGAUUAAGGAAAGUAAUAAAGUCUUCUCUGGGCGCUCGGCUGUCGGAUUUCGUAAACAAACUAUUAAAUGGAUUUUUUUUUUUUUGUCAUUAUUUUCGACUCAUCAACAAAAGCCGAAAAGAUUUUUAUGUACUCGUAACCCAUUCAUUUUUUAGAUCUGAAGAAAGUACCGCUACGCAACCUUGAUGAAAACAACAUUCCAAAACAUAUUCCAACCGACUUGACAAGCUGACUCGAACUGGUCAGAGGUUAGAUGAGAGAUUAAGAGGACUAUACUUGUUUCUUCCGGUUUUUUUAUGAUUUAUACAAUUAUUUUUCCAAGGAGAAACGGCUUUACCUCCUGCACUAGUUUUAGUAGUCAACGGAGUGGCCGGUCGAGGAAUCGGAUCCCCCGAAAAAGCCGAACUUAUCGAGAACGGUUAUCCGUGGUGCUAACAAUCUCUUUGUUAUAUAAAAAUGACAGUUUUGUAAUCUUAAUCGCAAUAAUUUCAAAGGAAACUCUCUAGACCGAAAGACCUUGCUGACAUCCGUUGCAUGAUGAGCUCGAUUGUUGAUAUUUCGGCUCUUAUCUCCAUCACAUUCUUACGUCAUCCACGAAUGUCGAUGCAUUGUGGCCAAUUUCCGUUUUUCCAAUCCCUUUGCCUAUUAUCUGGCAGAAGGUCUAGGCAAACUCCACCCUUUAUAACUUGUGCUAAAACUAUAGUAGUCGGUAAAUAUCGUUAUAUGGUUUGUGAUCUCAAGGUUUUCCAACAAUCCCAUCUUCGAGUUCUCGACAUUUAAUGAUUUCUGGAAUUAAAGGACAUCCUUGAAUAAUUGCUCGCACUGUCAAUUGUGAAAAUGAAAGAGAAAUUGUCGAGAAGAAUACAAAACUUUCAGUUCACUGUACUCCUAUUCGAGUGGGCAGUUAUGUAUGAUCGGUGGCUAAGUACAACGCCCACAGUCAUCGGAUUCCGUGUCCGCAAACGACUUUACUUGGUGGUAAACACUGUUGUGGGUGAACCCGGGGGUUGACAGACUUACAAGUGAAAGCGAAUGAUGAUCACUGCCUUUCUAAUCUGCCAUUUCCAAAAAUGGAGGACGUUCACCUUUCAAAUCGCCUUCUCUUACACCACUCCGGUAGGAAGUCGUAAAUGGUAAAUACCGCCCCGAUUCUUAAAAUUCUUUAUUUAUUCCGCCCAUAACUACCAUCAUCCCGUGAAAGAAACUCGAGAGUGAAACGAAUGCAGACAAAUAAAAUGUAAUGUAAACACCUAUACGGAUAUGCCAAUUAAAAGAUUUCGAUACGAACGACAUCAUCUCUGACCAAGAGGAAUGCGGUCCAACCAGGCCUGUUACGAUUGUCAUCGAAAAACUUAUCCAAAGAAUGAGGUCAAGGGAAAGCUCGUAGCCCUAGACCCUGAAGGUCGGUACGGAAGAUGUUCAAUUAAAAGCGAAAACAAUUAAGAUAAUAUCUGCCGAAUUCAAAAGGUUGCAAUAUCAGUUUUUCGGGCUCCACAACAACAACAGCUGGCUACACUGCAUCAUUUACCAACCCUUAAUCCUAUUAUUGGUUAUUUGACACGGUGGCUCUUGGCCAACUUUCCUCAAAAACCGGAAAUCUCGAUAAAAAAAAAUCGCAGUUUGAAUUUUUAGCAUUUUCGAAGUAAACACUGACUGGAGGAGAGACGUAUUGUGUGUGUGUCACAGUUGCAUAUAGAUCGACCUAAAUGGGAUUCGAGUCGUGUUUCGCAUUGUAGGCAAGAAGAAAAACAGACAAGACAACCAGCAAUUGUUUAAACUUUAUAGAAUAUAAUAACGUGCUCGUUGAUUCAUUUUUAUGUUUAGUUUUUUUCAAUAGUAGGUGGGUGGGGUGAGAAGAGUGAAAGCGGGUUGAGUGACCCUCUAAUGUUGUGUCUUUAUUAUUAUUAUUUUUUUAUCGCGUGAUCUUUGGAGGAAAAUGAAGAGUUUCUUAUAAUUUUAGAAGAAAAGCGUUAAAUUAACUCGAAACCGUAACAAGAGAUGGCGGCACUAACGAACCGGAUAACUGUUAAUGGGUAAUGCAGUAAAGAUAUCUUAUAAAGUUAGGAAAAACCCGUUGGGUGCGGCAGAAACGGGCGUCCUUAUUCUAAAUAUUUUAAUGGGGGAAACAAUGCCAGAGCGAAAAUGUGUGGAAUGUAACAAAAAUCGUCGAGAGUUGCGGGUGGUUCGUCACUCUGCAACUGGUUGGCAGGACAGAUAUGCAGUCGGAUAAACAAAUACGUGAAUUGGUUGGACAAAUACUGCCAACCUCCCGGCAGAAGGACAGCGUGGCCUUGAGAUGCGCGUCCGGGGAGUCGGGCGUUGCACCGCCAUUUUAAAUCCUCAAAAUAUAUAUUUUUAACCCUUAAGAAUUUAUGAACAUAUUUUUGUUUUCGAACGGUUAAACAAAUUUUCAUUUUUUUGUUUGUUUGUUUGUUUGGCACGCAAGUUUAGCGGUUUAGAAAAAUUCUAAUGGGCUUUAAGAGGUUCUAAAAAAAUUGGUGUCAACCAUUGUUAAACGCUGUAACGUCCCUUCAAUGAUCCGAUAGCCGCCUAUUGUUUACGUUGACUCUGACAAUAGCCAUGCCUUAAUUGUUCCAGUAAACUGCCCCUCAAUUGAUUAGCCAUCGAAACACUAAACUGUUUAAGUGUGCUCCACUUGUAAAGUUACCCAGCCCACCAGAUGAGAUCAUGCACCCCCAAAACAAACUUUUGUGUUUUUAAGUGUCAAAGAGGUCACUGGGAUUAGACCCUUUCUCUUUUUAUCCUUUCACCCUCUCGCUUUCUUUCUCCCUUGAGAAUAUUCCCUCGCCAUUAUGGUUAACAAUGCAAGUUUCGCAGUACAAAAAAAAACAAUAACAGGUAAUAAAAAUAAGUAAUUUCAAUACUUAAACAAUACCUGCAUUAAUUUAUUUAGGACCAUAUUCAAGAAUUAUUAAACAAAUGGGACCAAAUCGAUGACGAAAUAUGAG
rnacentral:lncRNA from 1 species